GACGAACGCUGGCGGCGUGCUUAACACAUGCAAGUCGAACGGAAAGGCCCUGCUUUUGUGGGGUGCUCGAGUGGCGAACGGGUGAGUAACACGUGAGUAACCUGCCCUUGACUUUGGGAUAACUUCAGGAAACUGGGGCUAAUACCGGAUAGGAGCUCCUGCUGCAUGGUGGGGGUUGGAAAGUUGCGGCGGUUGGGGAUGGACUGGCGGCUGAUCAGCUUGUUGGUGGGGGAGUGGCUUACCAAGGCUUUGACGGGUAGCCGGCCUGAGAGGGUGACCGGCCACAUUGGGACUGAGGUACGGCGCAGACUCCUACGGGAGGCAGAAGUGGGGAGUAUUGCACAAUGGGCGGAAGCCUGAUGCAGCAACGCCGCGUGCGGGAUGACGGCCUGCGGGGUGUAAACCGCUUUCGCCUGUGACGAAGCGUGAGUGACGGUAAUGGAUAAAGAAGCACCGGCUAACUACGUG
rnacentral:rRNA from 1 species